rnacentral:rRNA from 1 species
GACGAACGCUGGCGGCGUGCUUAACACAUGCAAGUCGAACGGAAAGGCCUCUUUCGGGGGGUACUCGAGUGGCGAACGGGUGAGUAACACGUGAGUAACCUGCCCCUGACCUUGGGGUAACUUCAGGAAACUGGGGCUAAUACCGGAUAGGAGCUCCUGCUGCAUGGGGGGGGGUGGAAAGUUUCGGCGGUUGGGGAUGGACUCGCGGGUUAUCAGCUUGUUUGUGGGGUAGUGGCUUACCCAGGGUUUGACGGGGAGCCGGGCUGGGGGGGUGGACGGGCAACUUGGGGAUGAGGUACGGCCCAGGAUCCCACGGGGAGCAGGAGUGGGGGAUAAUGGACCAUGGGUCGGAGCCUGGAGGAACCAAGCCGGCUGCGGGAUGACGGGCUUCGGGUUGGAAACCGGUUUCCGCCAGGACCGAAGCUUGUGUGACGGUAAUGGGUAAAGAAGCACCGGCUAACUACGUG